rnacentral:rRNA from 1 species
AGAGUUUGAUCAUGGCUCAGAUUGAACGCUGGCGGCAGCCCUUACACAUGCAAGUCGAGCGAGAAAGUUUCUUCGGAAGCGAGUAAAGCGGCGGACGGGUGAGUAACGCGUAGGAAUCUACCAUUCAGUGGGGGAUAGCUCGGGGAAACCCGAAUUAAUACCGCAUAUACCCUAAGGGGGAAAGAGGGCCUAUCCUUGGAAGCUCUUGCUGUUUGAUGAGCCUGCGUGAGAUUAGUUUGUUGGUGAGGUAAUGGCUCACCAAGGCUACGAUCUCUAGCUGGUCUGAGAGGACGAUCAGCCACACUGGGACUGAGACACGGCCCAGACUCCUACGGGAGGCAGCAGUGGGGAAUAUUGGACAAUGGGGGCAACCCUGAUCCAGGCAUGCCGCGUGUGUGAAGAAGGCCUUCGGGUUGUAAAGCACUUUAGGUAAGGAAGAAAAGUCAUUGGUUAAUACCCAAUGACCAUGACAUUACUUACAGAAUAAGGACCGGCUAACUCCGUGCCAGCAGCCGCGGUAAUACGGAGGGUCCAAGCGUUAAUCGGAAUUACUGGGCGUAAAGCGCGCGUAGGCGGUUUGACAAGUUGGGUGUGAAAUCCCCGGGCUUAACCUGGGAACUGCAUUCAAAACUUUUAAACUGGAGUACGGGAGAGGAGAGUAGAAUUCAUGGUGUAGCGGUGAAAUGCGUAGAUAUCAUGAGGAAUACCAAUGGCGAAGGCAACUCUCUGGACCGUAACUGACGCUGAGGUGCGAAAGCGUGGGUAGCAAACAGGAUUAGAUACCCUGGUAGUCCACGCCGUAAACGAUGACAACUAGCCGUUGGACUUUCGGGUUCAGUGGCACAGCUAACGCAUUAAGUUGUCCGCCUGGGGAGUACGGCCGCAAGGCUAAAACUCAAAUGAAUUGACGGGGGCCCGCACAAGCGGUGGAGCAUGUGGUUUAAUUCGAUGCAACGCGAAAAACCUUACCAACCCUUGACAUCUAGUGAAAUUUCUAGAGAUAGAUUUGUGCCUUCGGGAACACUAAGACAGGUGUUGCAUGGCUGUCGUCAGCUCGUGUCGUGAGAUGUAUGGUUAAGUCCAGUAACGAGCGCAACCCUUAUCCUUAUUUGCCAGCACUUCGGGUGGGAACUCUAAGGAGACUGCCGUGAAUAACACGGAGGAAGGU